rnacentral:misc_RNA from 1 species
CUUGGAUUAGACAUGAGAGUAUGCAGAUUUUCUCCAUUGAUAUUCAGCCAGGUGGUCUUAGGUUUGCCACUGGUGGUGGUGAUCAUAAGGUUCGGAUAUGGAACAUGAAAUGUGUGGGUAAGGACUUGGAAGCGGAUGAAUCUACACCAAAACUUCUUGCCACACUACGUGAUCAUUUUGGGUCAGUGAACUGUGUUAGAUGGGCAAAACAUGGUCGGUAUGUUGCUUCUGGCUCCGAUGACCAGGUGAUUCAAGUCCAUGAGAGGAAACCUGG